GCUGUAUUUAUUAUUCCGGAUACCACAGCAAUGAGACAGACAUUCUUGCGCGAGGUCUCCGACUUUCCCCCGAACGAGAGGACAUUAGUCAAGCUCCCGUCCCGAGGAGCGCCCAGCAGCCCGCGCUAUUUCCACUGUCGCUUCCAGCAGCAAGGGGGCAGCGCGGAGCCUCGCUCGGCGCUCGGGCGGGCAGGGGCUGCCCCCGGGCUUCUGCCGCUCCCGUACGUUCUCCUCCGGGCGCCGUUGGAGGAAGCGCUUUCCUCGGGGAGUCCGACACAGCACCCGAGAGACUGCUCGGCGUCCGCAGCGCCCUUCGAGCGGCCGGGCAGCGCCCUCCAUCCCCCCGUCCAAUGACGCCCCACGGGAUUUCGAUCGCCAGGUCAACCGCAGCUUUCACGUUGGGUGGAAGUGUGGAUUUGCAGUCUUCUGGUUCUGCCUUCAGAAAUACCCCGUGUGCCAUCCAUGCUGCAGAACACGUUCUGCCUGAGGGUGCCCGCGAAGCUCAGCUUUCAGCCACUUUCCGAACCUAAAGAUUUGCAUCCCAGCAUCGCAGAUGAUUUCAGGUUACAAAGUGAAGAGUUGACAACAACUGUUGAUGCGUUCUGAGUUAUGUCUCUGUGACAGCGCUCCAACACGGCUCUAGUUUUUCACAGUGGUUGAACCUCUCCAGAUUUGCUUUCGUUUUUUACAAUCAAAAGGAUUGGACAUCCCUGGUCCAGCACGCUGAGCAAUCCUGCAGCACAACGCUCUGCGAGUACUGCAGUGCACACGGUAUGGUAAUAAACCAGGCUGCUGCAGCCAACAGCAAAUCACAAGGCGAUAAAACACAAAGGCUGAAGGAUUGGGUUGAGCUGGGAUAUGUUUUAGUGCAUGUGCUGAAUGCGGUAAGGGAGAGGCUGACUGAAAAUACAGACUCAUUAACAGAAAAGUGACUAAGCUCAUCUUUACAGGUGUGAUUUUCACAAUUGUGAAUGUUUUACUCAAUUAUUACAAGGCAUCAACUAUAGCAGCGUGUAAAUGCUUCCCGAUCUUUUCAUUAUGCUGGGAUGCCGCAACCUAUAUUUAACCCAAGGGGAGGAAUGUGCUCCAGAAACAAUUCUCACUUAGGCAAUCAUUUCUCUUAUCAGUCACAGAGAUCUGUCAGACCACUCUCACUCCCAACCAGGGAUUACAAAGAGAGGAAAAAGGGCAACCGGGAGAAAACUGUAUCUCUGCAAAAAUACAGUAUGGAUCUGUGUCAAGAAAUGAAGGUAACCUCCAAAGUGACAGUAAGAAGAUGAACAGUGCAAACGCUUUUCACCUUCUGGGAUUCUGGCAGGAGUGUCAGGCCCUGAGUGCAGCCACGGUGCCCUCCCCUUCUGGACCUGUGGCUGUGAGGACAGCAAUAGCGCCCGUCACCCCACACAUGACACACAGAUGCCCCCCGUCCCCCAUACCCUGACAGUGCCAGGGCUGAUGGGCGCUCUGUGCGGCCGAGAUGGGUUUGUGGCUCGCACUGCUCACAGAGCUGCUGCCCUCUGCACUGGGCAGUAAUCGCCCCAAUUGCAGAGAACACCCGAAAUAAAGGGCUUUGAGAAGAGAUCAGGGAUGGAAUCAACCCGGCAUGCUAAGCCAGGGAGGAAUGGGACGCUGUAGAGCGGGAAGUGAAUACUACCCAGGCUACACACAUUCUGUGAACAACUAGAAACCUUCAAUCUCCACAGCUAUCAGGCAGCAUUUUUCACUCCUACUGGAAAAUUGGAAAAUAAGAAGUGUCUUUACUCUGUGAUGGAAUAAAAAUAAGUAGAAAUAACAGUACUUAGUCAAAUAACACAGCAUCUCUCCAAUAUAACAGAAGUUGUGCUUUAGCUAAACACUCAGAUAGCAAGUUGGGAGUGAGCCCAGGGUUUGGGUUUAUUUAUUUUGCACAGAGCUCUGCGUGUAAUGCUCUGGUGAGGUUAGCAUGCAAACAAAGAGGAAGGCUUGGUGUUAGUCAACUUGUGUUCUCUCCCAGUAAUAGAAGAGUAG
ensembl:lncRNA